UUAUUGCAAAUUUAAAUAAAACAAAUAAUGUAUUAUUGUUGUAGAUAUUGUAUUAUUUGUGGCAACAACACAGAAAAUGCGAAGGCACUGCAUUGUUUUCCUCGAUCGCUUGCUAGAUUACGUGAAUGGGGAGAAGCACUAAAAAUUGAGAAUAUAGAAAAAAAGUGAAAGCACACUGGAGAAUUUGCAGUGAAUACUUUUCCGCAAAUUUUUACGCUAACAAUUGGUCAGCAACUUUAAAUCGAAAUGCAGUACCUUCGCAAUACAUCCAAACUUCCGAGACUGAGAUCAUUGAAGAGAAUGUGCUGCAGCCACCAACUGUGACACCCCCAGUUCUUCCGGUCGAACCGUUAAUGGUUACAGAUGAAGACAUACAUUUUUCAACACCAAUUAAAGUUCCCUCCACUCAUCCUGUUCCAUCGACAUCAAAAGGAAGUGCUUCUCUGAUGUAUGAUACUUCUAUGCUCACUUCUUUGCAUGAAACGCCUACUUCUUCUUGUUCUUCUAUUAAUUUUCGUCAAAAUGCGACGAUUUUGUCUACUAACGAGUCCAAAGCACCA